UUUAAAUAAUGUUGUAUUAAAAACAUCGUUUAUAACAAUCUUAGAGCAAUAGUUUUCAUAAAAUUACUUUUACAUCGCUUUUCAUAAUUACGGCUCAAUUGACGCGGGAAAAAUUAUGGACGGCGGGAAAGCGCUGUUCUACAGAGAGGCACAAGUUUUGCAACGUCACAGAUAUGAAACGUCAAUAUGCUUUUGGUGCGACAAAGCAAGACAAAAACUCAGCAAGAGGACGGCAAGAUUUUGAGACUACAGCAGAGAAAAUAUUGUUCUACAAGCCACUUGCAAAAAGUCUUAAAGUUAUAGAAACAGACGAUUUCCACGACAAGUCAGAGAUGAAGGGUCCUUUUCGAAUCGUCUACGAAUUGCUAUUGUUCAUAAACAAGUUGGCGAAGAUAUGUGAUAUCACAUGCAUUGGAAGAGCAGUGCAAAAUAACACUGAAGCAGAAUUAUGAAACAGUGAUUAAAAACAUUAAAUUGAGAGAGAAAUUUUACAUGUAACUAUAUCAUGCUGUUCAUUCUUAAGAUUACUGUUUGUUGUACUUGCAAUGGAAGUGAAUACAGUAGAUAAAAAGAGAAAGUUAAACAUU